GGGAAAAAAAAAAAAGAGAAGAGGUCUGGGGCUGAGGGGAAAAACAGAGCAAGGAGAGGAAAGAAAAAGGUGCGGCGGACGGCGGGUAAGAGGAGAGCAAAAGAAAAGGGGGGAACCUGGAAAUUGAGAGAGCUUCGGGCUGGGGGGAGGGAAUCAAACGAGAGAGAGAGCAAGAGAGGUAGACGAAGGAAAAAGGAAAACAGAGGAAACGAGGAAUUUUGGGCAAGAAGGAAAGGAAAAAGAAGAAAAGCUGGGCGGAGGAAUUGCAGUUUGCUGUCGGCUCCGGAACUUCACCGAGAGAGAGUAGUAUUUGGACUCCAAACCCGGAGUACCACCUCGACGCGAGCAUUAGAAGCACUAUUGUGGGGUACGAGUGAAGCGUGAGAAGUGUAAAGGCUAGCGUAGUCUAGUUACGUUAAACUUUGUUUUGAAUUUUGGUUUUGUACUCGCGCUAUUCCUCGAAUGAAAUAUUUUGUACUUGGAUUGUAUAUAUUUUGAAUUAGUUUAAGUAUAUCGAGACUUUGUACCUUGCUUUCUAUCAAUGUAAAUUAUAAGCUUGAAUUGCGGAUAUUAUUAAUGGUUCUUG